rnacentral:rRNA from 1 species
AACGGCCGCGGUAUUCUGACCGUGCAAAGGUAGCAUAAUCAUUAGUCUUUUAAUAGGGGGCUGGAAUGAAAGGUUUGAUGAAGUAUAGGCUGUCUCAAUAAUAUAUUNUAAAAUUUAACUUUCAAGUUAAAAGGCUUGAAUUUUGUAGAUAGACGAGAAGACCCUAUAGAGCUUUAUAAUUUAUUGGUUNGGAGUUUUUUAGAUUGACAUGUUUACUUCAUUUUNUUAAUUUAUUUUGUUGGGGUGAUGNAAAAUAUAAGAUUAACUUUUNUUAUUUNAUUGUACAUUGAUAUAUGANUUUUUAGAUCCAUUAUUAGUGAUUAUUAGAUGAAGUUACCUUA